UUUGCCUGUCGGCGGGCGGGGGGAGUUGAUCCGCUUUUAAGGAAUUGGGGCUUCCGCUUUUGUCUGCGCAGGCUAGCCAAAGUAUAACAGAGAGAGAAGGGAUAUUCUAGGGGCUAAGGGGUGGAGGCGGUUUAGGUAGGUGGUUUAGGGGUUUUGGGAUAGUCGCUUUAGCUGAGCUAGCUCUUUCAAGAAGCAGAGGGAGAGCGCCUUAUGUGUUUCGUGGCCAACUAGGGUUCGCCUUCUCGUCACUACCGCGUCAGGCCGUUGUCGCUGCGGCGGGGCUAGUCGUGGGUCGGGCGCCGCCUCCUCCACUGCCACCCCUCCUGCGGGCUCCUCCUCCGCCGGUCCGACUCCAUGGAGCUCAAGCACGUCGUCCGCCGCCGCGUCCGGCAGCACGAACGGCGGCGCCGGAUGCGCAUGCGGUUCGUCCCGCGGCCGGGCGAGGCGGGGCCGCAACUGGUGCAGCUCCCCUGGCAGUUCCGGCAGCAGCCGGGGCAGAUGCUGGCGAUGGUGCGGCACGGCGAGCUGGAGGAGUUCAAGGAGCUGGCGUUCCAACUGCUCAGACAGGUCCUCGACCUGGCGGCACAGGGUGGUCAGCACUUCCUCCACGGCUGGAUACGGGCGAGACGUCGUCGACUCCACGUCUUCUGUCCGUAUUACCCGUGUCGUUGACCUGACCGGUUCAGCCGGUAACGAGCGCGACUCGGAUUCCGGGCACUGAACAUAUGGGCGAUACUCGGACACCGCCUCGCGUUCCGACGGCUUCGGACCCGGCGGGACUUGGCGGAGGGCGAGCAGGGGAGCCACUGGGCACGGCAGGAGGGGUGUCGACGUGUCGAGAGUCGGUUCAUGUUGAGACGUCACGAGCUACCGCGAUUCGCACCGUUGAGGCAGCGGUGGAUGGAGGGCGAGCAGGGUUGACUCGCGUAACGUUCCCAAAAGCGGUUGGGCCGGCGGCUGUGACGCGGACGGUGUCGAGGACUCUACGUCGGGUAGGGCUGCGUCAUUGUUAUUCUCGAUGGGCCUCAAUACAAUGGAUAUUAUCGACAAUCCUCAGUCAUAGAGCAACAUCACAGAACAAACCGAACACCACCUGUCACCAUAAUACACACCUACCAGUGACACCAUAGGCGGACACACCUCCGCUGAGACUUACGACAACGACACGUCGUAGUGGACGAAACGCAAAAUGAGGGAGGCAAGGAUUUAUAAACAGAAAGAUCUGUAAAGUUUACUGAUGAUGUAUGCCUACAUACAUCUGUAUAAAAUCUCACAUCUAAGUGAGUAAAACGAGACAUACAUCAGUGGACAACUUCUUUCUGUUCAUAAAUACUUGCCUCCCUCAUCAAACAAGACGUACUUGGUGACACACAUUACGAAACUUAGUUUCAAUGUACUUCGUGGUAGACAUUUAAGUAUUGACAAAAAUACGCUCACACAUAACUGACAGUUAGACGUGACAAAAUAAACGAACAUCAAA
rnacentral:rRNA from 1 species